UGAAUAUGGUUUAGUUUUCAGGGCCUGUCCCACUUUCACGACUUAAUUCAAAACCUCUGCCGAGUUUAAAGGACCUAAAAAAGAUCAAGAUUGUGGUAACCUACAAACUCCUACGAUCGUCCACGACUAUGUUCAUGAACUCCUACGAGUAUGUCCACGAAUUCCCACGACUAUUUCGAUGCCCUCCU